ACGGGUGAGUAACGCGUGGGAAUCUACCGUACCCUACGGAAUAGCUCCGGGAAACUGGAAGUAAUACCGUAUACGCCCGAAAGGGGAAAGAUUUAUCGGGGUAUGAUGAGCCCGCGUUGGAUUAGCUAGUUGGUGGGGUAAAGGCCUACCAAGGCGACGAUCCAUAGCUGGUCUGAGAGGAUGAUCAGCCACAUUGGGACUGAGACACGGCCCAAACUCCUACGGGAGGCAGCAGUGGGGAAUAUUGGACAAUGGGCGCAAGCCUGAUCCAGCCAUGCCGCGUGAGUGAUGAAGGUCUUAGGAUUGUAAAGCUCUUUCACCGAUGAAGAUAAUGACGGUAGUCGGAGAAGAAGCCCCGGCAAACUUCGUGCCAGCAGCCGCGGUAAUACGAAGGGGGCUAGCGUUGUUCGGAAUUACUGGGCGUAAAGCGCACGUAGGCGGAUAAUUAAGUCAGGGGUGAAAUCCCGCAGCUCAACUGCGGAACUGCCUUUGAUACUGGUUAUCUUGAGUAUGGAAGAGGUAAGUGGAAUUGCGAGU
rnacentral:rRNA from 1 species